rnacentral:lncRNA from 1 species
CAGCUACUUGGCCAGAGGAGGAACAAAUCAAAUUCUCUCACUGCAGACAGGACUGCACUCUCUGCCUUCUUUCCCUCCAGUCAUGCAGGAGUAUUGAGGGCCUGGCAGGAUUGAAAUCCCUGCAGAAACCCAUCAGGCAGGAAAUCAUAUUUUCAGACUUCCUGUGGCUGACACAGCCUGGGUAGGUCAUGCUGUGCUGUAUCACAUCCCACAGCAUGUGGCAGAGUGUGAGCUUCCCACGGUGAUGCUCCACAAUGGAGCAGUUUCCAUAUCCCCAAAGACUGGUGAUAGUGGAAGAAAAGUGCAUACAGCAGGACAAGAGAAGAAAGAUGAGCUAUCUGCUGUGCAAAGCCAGAACACCCGGCCGGAGCUGGAGAGACACACGACUGUGUCACACAAAGCAAUCCCCUUCCGGGCUAGUUCAGUCCUGCUUGCAUCUACCCAGUUGUGCUCAUGGAUUCCUGCAAAGGAAAAAACUCAAUGCUCCUCUGUGCAG